rnacentral:rRNA from 1 species
CCUACGGGUGGCAGCAGUCGAGAAUCAUUCACAAUGGGGGAAACCCUGAUGGUGCGACGCCGCGUGGGGGAAUGAAGGUCUUCGGAUUGUAAACCCCUGUCAUGUGGGAGCAAAUUAAAAAGAUAGUACCACAAGAGGAAGAGACGGCUAACUCUGUGCCAGCAGCCGCGGUAAUACAGAGGUCUCAAGCGUUGUUCGGAAUCACUGGGCGUAAGGCGUGCGUAGGCUGUUUCGUAAGUCGUGUGUGAAAGGCGCGGGCUCAACCCGCGGACGGCACAAGAUACUGCGAGACUAGAGUAAUGGAGGGGGAACCGGAAUUCUCGGUGUAGCAGUGAAAUGCGUAGAUAUCGAGAGGAACACACGUGGCGAAGGCGGGUUCCAGGACAUUAACUGACGCUGAGGCACGAAGGCCAGGGGAGCGAAAGGGAUUAGAUACCCCUGUAGUC